GCGGUGAGCUGAGCUCUGGCUGGGUUGGGGGCUCUGUGUGACUCACAGCGGGGGCUCAGAGGCCGCUGCCCCCCAGGACCCCGUGGGGCGACGCCGAUGGCACCGCGGAGCCGGGCAGCAUCUUUGACUACGAAGCUGACACGGCGCCGGCACAGCGUGGGCAGCCCCCAGGAGCUGCGCCUGCAGUGCAGCCCAUCGAGGUGCAGCUGCAGCGGGAAUUGGAACAGCUGAGUGCUGAACUGGAUGAGGACCUCCGUGCCAUGGAGCGGCCGCAGCGGUGCCCCACUGCCCGCAGCACCCGCAGCACCCACAGAGCAUCGCCGCCCCCCACGGCACCGCUGAGCGCGCUGUCCCCCCAUGGGCUGCAGGGCCGCCCCGCUGUCCCCACGGAGCAGGAGGGGCCGGGGGGG
rnacentral:lncRNA from 1 species